AUUGUCUGGGGGAAUGCUGCGUGACCCGAACAGCCAGCACAGAAUGUCUAGGUUCUUUCAUCCCGUGUGGCCGGGCUGCAGCUGGGUCACCUUUGCUAUGUAUGUCCAGGGAGAGUGUGACUUCCACUGGUUACCCAGCACAAGGUCUAUGAAAUGAGACUUCACAACACAAGUGGCUGGACAAUGUUUUGUGAGAUCUUGCCAUGGAAACCCAGGGUACAAUAGAUGAAGCAGAAGAGAACAGGGAGGCAAGGUGAGAUUAACAGAACUAAAAUCACACUUCAAAUUAAAUGAGACAAGAAGAUGAAGUAGUUUUUCCAGCAGCUAAACGUAUGCACUGUUAUCUCUUUAAUAAAAUGAAGGCAGGAGGAAAAAAGCAUCACAGAACCUCUCCAGAGUGGCAGAUUAGCAGGAACUGUAACUCACCACCACAGCUUGAAAAGAUUUACGUUGUGCUACUUCCCUCUUCUUCAUUCUCCCAUUGUUUAACCAUCAACACUGCAGACACCACACACUUGCCAUUUCUCUUUUAAAUCGAUCAAGUAGUUGGCUUUUAUGUUUCUUACUGGGUGGGAAAUUCCUCUAGGUUUGAGCCGUCCAUCUAUGAUUUUGGUGAGCAAACUGUGGAAUGCUGAGCCCCUCAAGUGUUCGGAUCCUUGAGACUGAGGGUUGUUCAGCUUCAGAGAGCUUCAGUUUUAAGCAAAUAUGGGGACAGUGUGAAGGAAGUCCAAGAGGAGAGGGUGGCAGGGGCGUAAGGACAUAUGGGUGCAGCCUUUCAGCUCAGCAGGGCUUUUGAUCAUGAGGACUGUCCUAAUGGCUUCUGACAGAGUUAUGAGGUGUGUUGUGAAGAAAGUAAGGUAAUAAUUUUACAUUAGAUAUGGGCUUUGGACUUAGUGGAAAAAAAAAAAGAUCCAAAGGCAAAAGAGAAAGCCUCCUUUCUCUUUUCACCCAUGAUCAAGGCUGACUACACAUUCCCUCUUCCCCACAGGCCUGGGCGUUUCCACAGCCCUCAGAGACAAAUUGUAGCACCGUGGCCUCUCUGCACAUCCUUAUCUGCGCAUCCAAAUCUUCUUGGUGACUUCAAGAGGCCAAAUCUUUUAACCUGAGAUGUUUGGAGCUUAAAACUCAGCCUAUUAACAGAUUUCAGUUAAAUGCCUCAAUGCCUUGCAUCAGUCAGUUCUGAAAAUGAUAUUGUCUCAGCUACUUUUGGUUAGCAUGAAAAGGUCCAGCAAUGCUUGAGUACUUUGUGGAAAUAAGACUUAAGAGCUUAUAUUUUUUACUCCUCCAAAUAAAAGUAAGUUACUUCAUAGCAAAAAAAUAAGACUCAGGAUUUAUUCUGUUUUCCCCCAUUGCUCUGGGCAAUAGCAUAGAGCUUGUGUGCAUCCAACUCUUGGUACAACUGAGCAGGAUACUUUGAUACGUAGAAAACUUUGCUUAAGUUGAGGCAAUGUCCUUUGGACACACAUUUAAAUGACAUAACAGGAGUUCUGUUGUGAAGUUCAGGACAAGUUUGAGUGCUCUGGAGGGUAACUUCAUCUGUUUUUUCAUAGCUCAUUAACAUGGAUUUGUCCUAAAGACAGUGCCUUAAAAAUGGAAACCUCUUGUAUUCAAACCAGCAGAUAAAAGAUUCUCCUUUAAAGGUUGUAUUUGUUGUAUGUUACUUUUGUUCAGGGUAGGAAAAAAGAAAGCAAACCCAAAAGGUCAAGAACGAUUCCUAACCAAUUGAUAAUUAACAACUUUCAAGUACAUUUAUGUCCACAUACAUUUGUUGGUUUUUUUUUAAAGAAAUAUUUUUAGUGUUUUAACACUUUUUUUUCCUCCAAAAAAAGAAAAAGAAAAAAAAAGAAAAAAAGAAAAAAGAAAGAAAAAAGAGAAGAAAGCAAUGUACAGAUUACAUUAUUUUGGCACUGGAACAGAAAUACCCCAAACUAAACCCCAGAAUGAAAGCAAGGCAACUCCCCUUGGCCCUGCCCAUCCUUCCCCCUGCCCUCCUGCCCACUCUACCUACAAGAAGACGGAAGGAGACAGUUUUUGAAAGCACCCAGCUGUAAUUGGUGAGCACGCUUGUCCAGGGAGCCAUCCCAUGGCACAGAAUGGGCUUCAGCUCCUCUCCAUCUGGCACAGGACGGCUAUGAGAGCAGAGACUGCCACCCACCAAUCACACCUUCCCACCUCUAGAGUAGACAAAGAUGGCUCUUUAGGUCAUUUUAUUUUAUUUCUUUGUUGUUUCCCCCCCCCCUUUUUUUUCUCCUCCCCCCGUUUUUUUUUUUUUUUUACAAAAAUUUCUACAUCUAAAUCACUUUGCUAUAGAAACAUUAUUUUCUUUCCUUUUUUUUUUUUUUUUUUUUUUACAUUAGUUAAAGCAGAACCUGCUUUUGUGAAAAAAGACAAGGAUCAAGGUCUUAUUUCAUGCAGAAAAUGCAAAUUAAAGAACAUAAAAAUG
ensembl:lncRNA